rnacentral:rRNA from 1 species
GACGAACGCUGGCGGCGUGCCUAACACAUGCAAGUCGAACGGGGUGAUUUCCUUCGGGGAAUCACUUAGUGGCGAACGGGUGAGUAACGCGUGAGAAACCUGCCUUUCAGUGGGGGACAACAGUUGGAAACGACUGCUAAUACCGCAUAACGUAUUUAGGGGGCAUCCCUUGAAUACCAAAGAUUUAUUGCUGAAAGAUGGUCUCGCGUCUGAUUAGCUUGUUGGCGGGGUAACGGCCCACCAAGGCGACGAUGCAUAGGGGUUCUGAGAGGAAGGUCCCCCCACACUGGUACUGAGACACGGACCAGACUCCUACGGGAGGCAGCAGUGAGGAAUAUUGGUCAAUGGGCAGAGCCUGAACCAGCCAAGUCGCGUGAGGGAUGACGGUCCUAUGGAUUGUAAACCUCUUUGUCGGGAGCAAGAUUUCUACGUGUAGAGAAGUGAGAGUACCCGAAGAAAAAGCAUCGGCUAACUCCGUG